rnacentral:misc_RNA from 1 species
AUCCUGUGCUGCGUACCUGUGAAACGGAAUCCGGAAGUCCCUCGGUAACCGUCCGCCCAGCGCCCCUCGUGGGUGUGGGGCGGACCUCGUAGCAGGCCCCGUGUUCCGAGCGUGCGCCGCGGUCUGCGGCGUCGCUUUGGCCCACGGGACCCUGCUCGUGCUCUCGGAUGUGGGAAAUUUACAUGGGCGUGGGGUCCCGGCCCCUAUCCGUCCAAACCAAGCGUUCGUCGCUCGAAACGUACGACGACCCUGCGUCGCCUUGACCCUCCCUCGGCCCCCCGGGGUCGGUGGAGCGGCUCAUGCGGCGCUUGGCGUCGAGAAGGAAUGCUACCUGGUUGAUCCUGCCAGUAGUCAUAUGCUUGUCUCAAAGAUUAAGCCAUGCAUGUGUAAGUAUGAACUAAUUCAGACUGUGAAACUG